UUUACCCUUCCAGCGAGGCUGAAAAUGCAAUUAGCUGGCUACAAACAAACAGACAGUUCUCUGCUCUCUUGUCUUGUAGGAGUAGCAGUAGGCUGUAACAAGGUUGGCGGUGGUAUGCUAAGUGAGGCACGUUUUCCAUCUCUUGGCUCUCUUUUCUCUCGAAUCCUCCGUUCUUCCCUCCACCACCACCGCCACCACCAACAACAACUAAGUUCAACAUCAAACCUACCAUUUUCUCUUUCACCUUAUCUGAUGUCGAUUUCCACCAAAAUCCCGCACCCUCUCCUCCAUCACCCUAAUUCUCCAUCCCUUAAUAAAGCCCUAAAACCCUCUUCUUCUUCUUUACAUUCUACACCCAAUAAAUUAACCUUCUUUAGAUCCAUUACUAUUGAAAAAAUCUCCACAAAAUCAAUUUUUGCUACUCCCACAAGUGCUUCUUCACAACCCUCAUCACCUCUCCAACCCAUUGAAGAGCUCCCACCGAAACUCCAAGAAAUCGUCAAACUCUUUCAAGCAGUCGAACAACCAAAGGCUAAAUACGAGCAACUCUUAUUUUACGGUAAAAAUUUAAACUCACUUGACGCAAAAUACAAGACCACUGAAAAUAAAGUUCAGGGUUGUGUUUCACAGGUUUGGGUUAGGGCUUAUUUUGAUUCGGAGAAAAAUGUGAUCUUUGAGGCUGAUUCUGAUUCGGUACUCACUAAAGGGCUUGCUGCUUUGUUGGUUCUGGGUCUAUCUGGUCGGCCCGUUGAAGAGAUUAUAAAAGUUUCACCUGAUUUUGCUGUCCUUUUAGGGCUGCAACAAAGCUUAACUCCUUCUAGGAAUAAUGGGUUUUUGAAUAUGUUGAAGCUGAUGCAGAAAAAGGCACUGCAGUUGUACGUUGAAGCUGAAAAGGCUGCUGAUUUAGGCCAUAGCGAAUCCUUAAAUGCCUCGAUUGAGGCUUCUUCGUUGGGCAGUGUUAAUGUUAAUGGAAAUGUUGAGUCUAGAGAGAGUACUGAUGUUAGUGGGAAUAAUGUGAGUGGUGGUGGUGGUGAUGAUGGUGUUUUGAGGAGUAGAGGGAUGAGAAUUAAAGAGAGGCUGGAGAAGGAACUUAGGCCUGUCGAAUUGGAAGUUGAAGAUAUAUCUUAUCAGCACGCAGGGCAUGCUGGGGUUAGAGGCAGUGACGGAGAGACACAUUUUAAUUUAAGAGUGGUUUCUAAGGAAUUUGAAGGGAAGAGUUUGGUUAAGAGGCAUAGGAUGAUUUAUGAUUUGCUGCAAGAUGAGUUGCAGAAUGGAUUACACGCGUUGUCAAUCGUGGCGAAGAUGCCCUCUGAACUCUGAAGUUGGUAGUAGAUGAAUUGAACGGCCGGCGUCUAGAGAGCCGGUAUAUCUUCCAUUGCCGGCCCAGUAGCUGGUUGUGACAUAGGAAAAAAUAUUACCGAUCACUUCUCCGUUUUUGAACAUGGCUCGACCUCUGGUGCAUCCUAUGACCAACACCAUACUGAGACAUCUGUCGUCACAAAUAAAGGUAUGUCAAAGUGAUCCUACAAAGUAAAAUGCUUCCACAUCUUGGUACUAAAAGGGACAGCUGAGGGGCUGCGAUAUCUUCAUGAGGGAGAUCAAAGAAUAACUAUCCACAGAGAUAUUAAGGCUGCAAAUAUAUUGCUUACUAAGGACUUUGAAUCUCAGAUUUGUGAUUUUGGCCUUGGCAAAUGGUUGCCAGAGUGAUGGACUCACCUCACUGUACCAAAAUUUGAAGGCACAUUUGAGUUAGUAUACUGUUGAGAGGAGAUUCAUAUGGGGUGGACUGCCUCAAACUUGAUUUUUAUUGUUGCUGGUGUAAAGGAAUCACAACAUUUCAAAAGAGAGCAAUUAGAGCAUGGAAUACAAACAAAGAGGGCUCGAGCGAGACAACAGAGACCACUGCUGUAAAUUAAUGCGAAUAAAGACAACUGAUCAGGUGAUAAGCCUACACAGCCAUUGUCACAGGAAAAAGCUUGUCAAGAAAGGUUUUGAAGCACCACCUUAAUCUGUCCUAAAAAUGAAAAUUCCUGGAAUUACUCGUCUCUGCAAUACCGUAAAGCACGUUAUGCUGAAGACAAACGACAACAUUGCUUGUGAGCCUGAGAUUUUUUGUUCUUCUACAUAGAGUCUGUUGGAAUGAGUAAUGAUACCAACAGUUCUGUUACUUUUCCACCGUCGAUAGUUUAAAGGUAUUUCUCUUAUUGAUUUGGAAUUUGACCCUAUGUAGGCUAAUAAGCAAUAUUUAUUCACUGUUAGGCUCAUGCUAUUCAAUGUAUUCUUGCUUUUUUGGUACUACUUUGAACAUUUUACGAGCUUGAAACACUGUCUUUCAUGCCGGUAGCUAAUGUAUUCAUUUUACCCCGAUUCAGAAAAUUACUUUAUCUUCUUCAGUUUCUUGCGAAUUCUCAUGUCUAAAUUCAGGAGAGAAACCACAGAGCAAAAAUAUGCUUAAUAUUUGUUACAAUCAACAAACAACUUUAGACUACAAAUUGUUGGGCCCAUGCGGAGCAUGGGCAACGUUAUCUAGUUUAUAUAGAAAAGGCUUGUUUGGUCGACCAACGGCAUAAAUGACAUUUGCUCUGCCAUUAAUUAUUUAAGUAUAAAACCGCUUUAUUUCCUUCACAAUAUAUCUGACACAAAUUCUAGAACUCUCCCUAUCUUUCUGAAGUACUACUCUCUUAGUAUAUCCGUUCUUCUUCUCUAAUUUCAGGUAAGUCCUCAAUUUUGAUUUAAUCUUCUUCUACUUUUCAAAAAUUUGUUGGUAUUACGAUGAAAAUAAUUGUUGCUGUUAUUAUUCAUUUUAACUUUCUCUUCUAUAUCCUCGUUCAUCCCAUAUUCUAAAGAAAAGUGAACUAGUGAAGGUCUUAUUUUGGGCAAAAUAGUUUCUAGGUCUUGUGCAAUUUCUCGAAUUUUAGACUGCUUUGCGAAUUUCUGGUUACUAUUCGGUAAAGAAUAACUGGUAUUGUGCAAGACUGCAUUUUAGGGAAACACAUGCUCCUAAAUUUCAUGUCACUAUCUUCAAAUAUCCGCUGCUAUUAAGGUAUCUCUUUUAGGCCUUGUUCUCUGGUAAUACGUUUAUUGCUCAACUUCAGAGUUCUCCUUCGCUUCUUACAAGUAUCAUCUCUCUAUUUUGGAGUGUUUCUCAACUCUCUUAUGUACUUUUUUCUGUUCUUCAGGCCUCUUAGUUAAUUUAAUGGUAAAUAUUUUUAGGAUUCUCACCUUAAGCUAUUCUUAAAUUAGAAAUCAAAAUCUAUAGUCUCUAGAUUUCUCAUAUAUUUUCAUUUAAACCCUAUAAAAAUUUAUCUUUAUUGGACACAUGUGACAUGCUAAAUCUUAUCCAAAAGAAUGAAAGUGGACGAUGAGCAGUUAAUGGAAGUGGUAUAGGUGAGCAUCACAAUGUUUGUAAUCUGUGCAAAGAUAUAAAUAUUCGUUGGCAUGUGUUCUUCUAUCUUUUAGUAUUAUAUGAAUGCGCAUGUGGCUGUGACUGUUUUAAACUAUUCUUUGUAUUUAAAGGAGUUACAUUUCCCAUGCACUUGGUGUAUCAUUAUGCUACCAUCAAACCAAGUGAUGUCCGGAAUCUUAGUGGUAGGUUUUUCAUUAAUUUGCAAAAUCUUGAUUAUUGGUGUUGUGGCUUACUAGAACGAUCAACAGUUGUAUUGGCAAUCCCCAUCACACCAAUGUUGCUUUCCUUGCCUUUUUUUUUUUUCUAAUGUAUUUAUCUAGGACUACCUCUAUUGCUUGUUUGCUUUCUUUCUUUCUUUCUUUCUUUCUUUCUUGUUCUCUGUUUUUUGUACAUUGGACCCAUAUUAUAGGUUGCUAAAUAUGUUAAGUUUGCUAAUGAAAUCUUUCAUGACUUCUUCUAAUGUCUUGUGGUGUAAUGCUAUCCAGAGGUGUGACAUAUACCUUGCUACAAGUCUAACCUCAUUGGGUUAUUAAACAUCAUAUAAUGACUUUUAGUUGAUUUCCGAAGACACACAUGCGACAAAUUUUGGAACUGAUUCUCUAUGUUGAAUAUGAACAUGUUAAUAUAGGAGUUUGUUCAUCAAUAUUGUAGUGACAUGGUUGAAAACACUGACCAUAUAGACAUUUUAAUCGGACAGCAUUUAACAAAUGUUUACAUUUAGCCAACUGUUAGUUUUGUUUACCGCAGUGUUUAAUUAACAUAUCAUCCCGAAAUGAAAUGGACUAAGCUCCCGGAUCAUGAGAAAAAAAGAAAAGUGCUUAUUGUUAGCUCUAGGUUUAAUCUUUUUUAUUUAGUGUCCGUUAUCUUUGAGACAUGAGAUGAUGUGAUCGUUAUAAAUGAGUUGCGAGUGUAUGCUGAAUUUCAUUAAAGUGCUCUUUAGCUUUAAUAUUUUUUUUGGUCUCCUUUAUCUUUUGACCCAUGAAAGGCUUUGGUCAUUUUAGCUGGAAUAUUUUUUAUUGCAGGCAUCAAGGAUGUCGCUAUAUUUAUUCCUGUAGAAUCAUGCUGAGAAAAGAGUUGCUAAGGUAAAUUUUGAAGCUUAGUUAAAUAAAAUUGGAAAUCUUUGUUUACUUUUUUAAGUUUCAAGAAGAAAUACGUAUUAUCUUUUCUGUUAUAUUAGGAAAUAGCUUAGGAUCCCAAAUGGAUAGCUGCACAUAUUCAUGCUAUCUGUUUUAACUAUUUUCUUGGUCUAUUUUAACUAUCAAUCUUCAAACAACACAUAAAGAGAGACUGGGCAUGCGAAGAAAUACAAGAACUGUGUAAUGUGUUUGUGCAAUAUUAAGAUGCUAGCUCAGUAAGAUGAUUCGAUAUUUGUUGUUUUUGUACUAAUAUAAUUAUGUUAUUUUAGUCACCAUGUGUCAUUCUACAAGCAAGACAUCAUGUAGUGUCUUUGUUUCAGGUCUUUAAUCAUAUUUGGAGGGUAAUUUAUUCCGUUUACCGCAUGUGAAAGUAAAUAUUGCUUUAAUUAUGGCUUCAUGCUGAUGCAAUGUAUAGUACUUCACAGUCCCGACCCUAUAAUAGUUUUUUUCAUAGAUUCAUUUGUAGAUUGCUCUUUUAUUAAAUUUUACUCUAACAGAAAAGUUAGCAUUCUUUCCGAUUUCUAAAAUAUUUAUUAUUGGUAGAUUUUAACUUUCUCUCAAUGCCUACAAAACCCUCGCCAUUUCAAAAUGAAAUAACUAAAUUUUGGAUAUGAUGCUACAAAUUAAGCAAAUAAACUAAGAUAUUCUGUAAUGUUUUUUUAUGUUUGUGUGUACACAACAACAUUUAAUAUUUAGAUACAAAUACCAAAUUUGCAUAUGAAGAAAAGAGUAGUACAUCCUGAAUCUUUGUAUUUGAGUGUGAAACAACUUCUGUCAUAAAACUUGAGGUUACGAAACCAUGAUUUGAUAGGAAUUCAGUUUAUAUUUCCCAAUUUAUAAGAAUUCUUAAUACCUGAAAGAAGAAAAAAAAUUUAUGCUUGAUUUCAAGAGUUUGUGUCCUCGCUCAUCUGAGGUAAAAUGCAGAUAGCAGCAAUCUAGGGAAAGCACUCUCAAUAAUAUUUGUGGCACUUUGCUUGACUGACUUACAAGUCUAAGGAGCAUUUCUCCUUGACUAUUGUUUUAAGCCUGUCUAUUAUUUUAAGCUCUUAGAUGCGAGGCAUUUUUCCUUGGUUUUACAAUAUUUUCCAAGUGUCUUUAAAUGAAUUCCAUUGAUAACUUUCUAUCCCCACAGGUGUCGAAGAACAUAACAGUCAUAGUUAUCUUCCUUAAAACUCUUUCUAUCGUCUUCUUUUCCCCCUUUGUAUCUUUUUCUCUUCUAGGAAAAGCAUUAAAAACACAAUUUUCAGUAUGACAUUGUCAGAAAAAUCCGUUUAGGGGAUGAUUACUCAUUAAAAAAUAGGAGAAAGUGCCUUUUCCUUAUUUUUUCUUGAAGGAGCUUAUCGUUGUCUAUUAUGUUUUUCUACCAUUCCUUGUUAUUUUGGUGCCUUUACAGAAAUGCUUUUAUUUCUGGAUCAGUUAUGCAUUGUGUGGUUUUCUUUUUAGCUCAACCGGAGAUUCGCUUCAUACUUCAUGAACACAAAUACGAUGUUGCUUGCGUUGUUGUUUAAUUUAUAAAUGAACUUAUGACUUCUUAAAAGAAAUUUAGUUGCCUAAAUUGGUUAACAAAGCAAGUACAAGAAAUUUUUGAUAGAUGCGGACUUGACAAAUGUAGGCAAAAUUUGCAGAAGACUGUAUUCCUAAAAUCUUCGGUCCUUCCUUUCAAUCAAACGAAGGAAAAAUUCUCUUUUAACUACUAUUUUCAAUUUUAUGCAAGCUGUAUUUGCAUCUCAUCCUUCUUGAAGUGCAGGGUUGAAAGCGGUUACAUAUUUUUUGCAUUCAUUCUGAAUUUUGACAAGUGCUUCUAUAUACUUGGCAUAACCUAGAGGUUUCUACAUCUAAUGUAAUGCUACCAAAGCUUCUUUCUUAUUCUUGCUUUUUAACUCCUUUCUUUUAUCUGCACUUUUUUGUCAUCUGAUUGGUCAUAUCAUGUUUCUCUUGUUUUAAUCGUCCCUCAUGCUUCUGGUCCUUUUUUUUCCAUAGAAAAGUAUUAUGUAUUUAUUUAUUUAUUCAACCUUUUAUCCUUUUCUACUAAGAAUUCUCUCUUUCAGUUCUACAGUAGUGACAAAUCUUCUAAAAUUUUUUUCUUUCAAACAUAAAAUGUAAAAGCAUUCUUACAUGGAAUUGUUGCUGAGAUGGAUUUUUUAAUCUAGAAUUACUUAUUGAUCUUAUUACGAGAAAUGGUUACAGAUUUAGAUGGAACCAUUGCUCGAUGCAAGAUUAAUUAGGGUAGGAGCUUGCUUUCAAGAGAAACUGCAGUAUAUGGAGAAUAGAAAGAACUUUCUCUCUUACACAAAUUCUUGAAGCAGUCCGCCCAUGUACGUAGUGAUGUAACAAACUUGAUUCUGUUAAAUGGAAUAGAAGUACCUAUGGUUUUUUCUCAGUUGUUGAAGUCCGUUCUUUUCAAAAAGUACUGGCGCAUAUGGAACAAGAACUUGGAGGUGUAUUUGGAAGAGCAAAACAGCACCAAAAUUAAUUUUCUUGGAGUGGACUACAUGUCAUAUGACCUAACUCGAGCAAACUUCCCACAUGCUGGUGAAAUCAUAUGCUUAAGAUGUUAGGUGUGCGUAGAGGAAGCUGAAGUCCAUUUGUUCUUCCAUGUGCCAUUGUUUCUUAGCUUUAUUGCAUGUUCUUGGAUUAUAGAAGUAAUCAUAGUUGGAUUGGCAAGAAAGUAAAGAACAUCUCAAAAAUGUGUGGAAUACAAUUUCGACCUACAUUUUUUAAGUAGUUUUAUGUGAAAUAAAACCCUGUAUUUACCUACCAAAAGAAAAUCGUAAAACUCCCUAAGAAUGUAUUGAACAAGUGACUAUAUUUUUUCAGGGAAGUUGACCCAUCACAUAUUUCCUACA